CCAGUUAGCCCAACCUCGAUUUUCCACUUUCCCAUUCGCUUGUCCCCCUUUUCUUCUUGCUGUUAUCGUGUAACUCAGUGUUGGAGAUAAUCUGCGAUCCCAUGUUAAGAAAUAUUCUUUCAGGAAGCAAGCGCUGGCUCUGGAGAGCCAACUAUACUACUCCUGACGGAUUCUUUUGACCCCUUUCCUUCUUCCUUCCUUCUCGACGGAUCUGUUCUCUUCCCUUUCUCUCAACCACUGUUCAAAUGCAGUAGUUAAGAUGUUUCUUGUCGUGAUGGAUAUUUUUAGUAAAAUUUUCCAGUAUUUGCCCAAACACAAUGGUUGAAAUAUUUAUGGUUGCAAUGAUUGGUAUUCUAAAAUGAUUGUUUUCCAGUAUUUACCCAAAAACAUUGGUUAAAAUGUUUUUGGUUGCAAAAUUUAGUUUUGUUCCAAAAUGUUCGGUUCUAACAUUAUGCAUAUCCUUACUUACUAAAAGAAACUUUUUUUUGUAGAAACUAAAAAUGCUGACCUGUGUCCGUAUUGAUUUCUCAGGCCUUACUAGAGAAUAGUACACUUGGCUAUUUAAAAACUCUGACUAUUGACUUUGAUUACUCGUGCUUAAAGUUGUUAUUUUAGGUACUAUAAUUUGAACUUUAUAACCUGAAUUAUGGCCUAGCAUUUCUUGGCAACAUUUUAAAAUAAAUCUGUAAACCUUGUUUUGUUUUGUGUGUUAUUAUUUUUUUUUAAGAAAAUAUGAGUAAGGGAUGAUUUUGAUUGUCCGGGUCUAUCAUUAGGUUGAACUUUUUAUUGUUUUUGAAUUUGGAAGUCUUGAGUGUUUUUUCAAUGUGUCUCAUGUACUGGUUUAUAUUUUCUGGACCAAUUUAUAUACAUGUUCUAUGCUAAAUCCAGAAGCACAUAGGUUACAGAUUCAAAGUCCCAUUUGGUAUUAGUUAGUUUGCAGUAUGAGAAUCCCUUGAGAGUUGAGAUUAAAAAUGUUAAAAGCCAAACUUAAGCUGAUAGUAGAUUAAAAAAAGUAAUUCAAAACAAAGAAGUUCUAUACUAGGGUUUCCAGAUCAAAGAUAUAACUUUUAGUAUUAUACAGGAAGACAAUCAUAGUCCUGUUAUUGUGGUAUUGCUAUGCUUAUUUACUGUUACAGAUUUACAGGAACUUGUCAUACAUUGAUUUCACAAUAAUAAUCCAUCUUCAACAGAACAAUAGAAGGGGAAGAUGACAUUUUGCAGAAAACGUUGUGGCUUAGUUGGGCAAGGAAUUCUUAAAGACAGUGUGAUAGGCAGAUCAAAUGAGGCUUUCCAGAUGCUUAACUCUGUUCGCUAUUUUACGUCUACAAAACUUUUUGCUGGAGGGCAGCCCGGUGCACGAAGCUCCCGCCAUGCGGGGUCCCCGGGAAGGAUCCAUUGUACACAGUAUUACCCUGCUUUUUGCAAAAAGUUGUUUCCAGGAUUCGAACCCGUGACCUUUUGAUCACAUGGCAACAACUUUACCGUUGCGCCAAGACUCCCCUUCAUUCUAUCACGUCUAUAUGCCUAAAAAACUUUUAGUUAGAGCGGAUGCAGAAUUGAGUAAAGAGUCAGUUCUAGCCCCCCAAUGCCUUCACUAGUACCAGAGGAAUGAGAAAUCGUUGUUUCUCUAAUCAAAUGCAAAAGAAAUCGUCCAAAUGCUCGGCCAGGUUCCUCCAAAAUAGUUUUAACACCAAGCGCAUCUAUUGCUUCAUCAAUUCCUCUAACCACAUUUGCCUUCAUAGGGCAACAAUUACCUCUCCUCCACCAAAAAGGCAUACUGCAGAAACACACCAUAAUCCCACAUUGUCAAAUUUAAUAGGCGAGACCUCUCAUCCCCGUAGUGUGAUGUCCUUUGAUUUCAUUUCCUCAUUGAUUAAUGAAAAAGCUUCUCUCCACUUAGCAGAAUUAGAAGCAGCUGAAAAAUGUAAUGUGGAAGAAUUAAUAGAGGUUGUGGUUGAUUCUACAAUGAGGAGUUUUUUUAUCUUCUUGGUGGGGGCUCUUGAUCUAGAAGGACUUCUAAGCAAAAUACCCAAUGACAUGCUUAAAGAUUGAACUAUGUGUGUUGUUGUUGUAAUAUCAAGUGUCUCUUGCACCCAAACAUGUUUAUAUUUUAAUCAUUGAACUAUGUUUCUAAUAUAUGCCCACUUAUUGGUAUAUAUUACUUAAAUAGAUAUCUAAUUAAGUAGAAGAGAUUAGAGGAGUAAAAAUGUAGAAUUAAUCCUAAUUCAUCUUUGACAAAUGUCAAAGAAAGCAAAGCAACUAUUGGUACUCAGCUUCCAACAAAUGUAAACUAUGACAGGUUAAACUCUUUUGUGGUACUUUCUAAGUUGUUGGAAUUCUGUGAAUUUGUAUGAUCAUUGUCAUUAUCAA